GGAAAUAAACGAUCCCAAUUGAUGCCGCAAAACUUAGACUCGACCAGGGAUAAGCAGCGUUUGGAAGGGCGAAGGGGGUUCGGGACCAGAUUUAAAGAAAACUGAAAGCAGUUGGAGACUUGUGAUUGUCAGUUAGAAGGAAAAACUCAGCGAACAUCCACACAAAACACCCGAGACCAAGAGCCACGCAGCAGGUACCUUUUAAAAUUGUACCAUGGGGCAACGAAUUCACCAGGAUCUGGAAGACACCAGAUUCUUAUGAAAAGGUCAAAGUUAUGGCCUUGGUAUGACCUCAAAAGAAAAAAAAAUCUAUUUGUGAGGCAAUAUGAUUGUCAAAAAGGUUUUAGUAAAUGCAAUUAGAGUGACAAUCCUAAUCCAAACAGUUGAACAAAAAAAAUUUUAAAAAUAAAAUAAACCUCACCCUCA